rnacentral:lncRNA from 1 species
UUUUUGUUUUUUUUGUUUUUUUCUGUAACUGAAGUAAUGUAAAUUUCAGCUCUUAAUCCCAGGGGCCUGGGAUGGCUGUACUUGUGCUAACACUGAACUUAAAGUGGAAUGGCCUUAAUUUUCUUGGCCUCCACAAUUAGCACCUAGACCAACAUCUCUGGCAUAUAUAUCUAUUACAGUUGCUCAUUAAAUAUUGGCUAAAAGAAUUACUCUAUAUAUGUAAAGGUAAUUAAAGUGCUGUUGUACUCCAAAACACUUGGGUUCAAAUCCUGACACUGUUGCUGCCUACCUCUAUGAAACUUGAUACAUUAUUUCUAUGUCUUUCCAUCUGCAUGGGUAUAAUAUUUAACUCAAAUAAAUGAGUAUUCUUACAUCGGCUGAUGUAAGAAUAAAAUUAAAUAAAUUAAUGAAUUCAAAGCCCUCACCACAAUAUCAGUCACACGAUGGUAGCUAUUAUAAUUAUUAUUAACCAUAUACAAAGGGAAAUGCCUCAAAUUAUAGAAGAAUAUGUGAGACUCUCAAAUGUCUUUGCGAUUUUGUAGCAGACUGUAAGGAGGGCUCUAGGGAAGCCUACCUGAAAAACUGCAUCACACAUCUAAUCCAUAUUAGGAAAUGGGAAGGUUGGAAGAGAGGUAGUGAAGGAACAAAGUAGUCACCAGCAAUUUUCCCUGAGUAAAAGACCAUAAGGAAAGGAAGGUGCAAUAAGCAGGUGAAUUAUCAUUUUACAUAUACACAUGCACAAAGAAGUAAACACACAAACAUACAUACAUAUGUGUGUGUGCAUGUGCCUGUGGGUGUAUAUGUACUUAGAGUAACCAUGAAGGCUUUAAAAGACACCAACUUUAUGGUUUGUCCUCCUCUCUAUUUUUUCAUGAGAGACUCCUAACUCUGGGAAACAAAUAACGUGUUGCAGAAGAACAGAUGGGAGAGAGUUAGGGUAAAUGGGUGACUGGCAUUAAGCAUGGCAUAUGAUAAGAGAGCACUGGGUAUUAUACUAUAUGUUGGCAAAUUGAAUUUAGUUUUAAAGGAUCAUUAAAAAUAAAUAAGAGACACCAACUUUAGAGGAAGGGUUUGCUAAGAAAUGGAUGCUUCCCCUGCAAGGUAGGAGGGCCUCAGGACAUUGAGGACUGUACUAAGAAGAAUACCCCAGGGAGGCACACUAAGAAAGAGGUAAAAGAGGCUCCCAAAUCAGACAUAAGUGGUAAGGGAACAAGCCAUCCUUAAAAAGUUAGAGAUCUGGGUAAGAGGAAUCUCCAGUUGUUUUCUAAUGAUUCCUCAUUUGUGCAUAGAGACUUUUAGACAAAAGUACUUCAUUAUGCAUGAUUUAUAUUUCUAGUUUUCCUAUUGAGAUCAUCUAUUCUCCUUGCCUUCUAUAUUGUAUAAUAAAGAACAUGGUUUACAUAAGUAUAUAUUUUUUAGAAAUAUGUAUCAGAGAUAUGAAAGGGUAAGAUUUAGGAUGUAUGUUUUUAAAGUUCUAAAUGUAAGAAUCAUAACUAUUUGUGAUAAAAAUAUUGGUGCCUAAAAUCUUUAAAAAAAAAUAUUGGUGCCUGGUCUGACAUACUUCUUUCUGAGAGAUUAUUGCUAGUAUGUCUCAAAAGUAUAUUAUGACAGUAGAGAUGGAGAAAAACCUGGGAAGCCCCCAAAGAUAUAGCAGAAGAGAGAAAGGAAAGAUAACAAAGUAAUAUGACAAUUAGGAAAGAGCCGAGGUUUUUCAUUAAGUGAGCACAACACAAACAUGUGUCCAAACUCUAAACUUUACUAACUGAAAUAGACUUUCUAGGAUAUAGAGCUAGGAUAUGUUAACAUUGAAGAAGUUCCACACUGGUUUUAAUGAGCAUCCCCAUUUAAGUACCCAAAGGUAUGUACCAGAAAUCAGGGAGCUGAAGGGGAAUUAUUUUCCUACUAGUCUAUUUAGUACUUUUCAAACACAUUGUGGAUUUUCAUUUCCCCUUAUUUUCUCCCUGAUAUUCCUUUAGUCUCAGUUACUACUUUUUUUUCCCCUUUUCUCAAGACUUUAAGGUAUCUGUCCAUGGAAAGUUUUCCUAUGUUCUUCAAUCAAAAUGAACCCACACCUUCUGUCAUGUUCCCAUGACUCUCUUGAUGUAAUUACAGCAAUCAUUUUGCUCAGCUUCACAAUACUUAAGGUUGUAUGCUUUCUUUUCAUAAAGAGCUUAUUCGGGUCUAUACCUCACUAGGCCCUCUGCACAGAGCUUUAGGCACAUAAAGUGCUCAAUUAAUGUUAUUUUAAAAAAAUAAUAAAUUAAUCAAUUUUUGAUUGUCCCAAUUUCAAAUUUAUAUUUAAGGAAAUAUUGCAUAGUGGUCUAGUGGUCUAGAUGCUAGACUCUGGAGUCAGAAUGCCUGAGGGCUUAUACGAGUUUGGCCAUUUAUAGAACACCUUCAUACCCCAGUUUCCUUAUUUGGAAAAGAAAGAUUAUAAUAAUACGUACCUAAAGUCUUGUUAUAAAUAUUAAAUGUUAGCAUUUGCAAAAUGCUUAGUUGAGCAUUGGCAUGUAGAAAG